ensembl:lncRNA
AUAUUGCAGAAGCCUUGGGAUCCCAGCAGCUGGGCCUGAAGCUGCCAGAGGCAAUCUUCUCAUUUUCCUUAUUGUGUUCCCCACCACUCCAGUUUUCUAUUCCUUGUGUUGACUUUGUUUUGCUGUGUACAACUCUGCCACAAGCAGAUAUUAGAGGGCUUGGCUCAGCCAAUAGUUUUGAAGCCGCUAACACAGCCCCAAGUUUCAUUCAUUUGCUACCAAAGGAAACAGCGUGCCAGCUUAACAAGGAGACAGAGCCACUGUUGCAGGACAAAUUAUUUUGUAUUCUGAGCACUGACAAAUAAAUGAGUUAAAUUCGAGCAGACAAUUAUUUAUAGGAAUUUAGCUGGCAGGCAAUGUUAACACGGGCUACCAUCCCCUGUAUUACUAAUGCUAUAUUAAUUGCAUGCAUACAGCCAGUAAAGUGAUUCAUUACCCUUUGUUGUUCCAGAUACAUUGUGUAUAAAUAGAGCCCACUAUUGAAAUGCCCAUUGUCAGGCAUCUCAGACUGAGCACUUGUCUAGAAGAACGACAUAAUGCAUUGUUGUGAUGUGUAAGGAAGACAUGGUGGGGCAAACUGUCCAUACCUUCUUUGAAUUUUCUUUGAAAAGACUUACAGAUGGUUGCUUGGAAGGCACGGGGAGAUGGAGGCACGUGUACCUGACUCACAGAGCAGCAGGUGGAGAUGCAGGUACUUUCCCCUUCAGAUGAAGGCGUGGAUGACCCAAGUGCCACUUAGAAUCAUAGAAUCAUUUGGAGCUGGGCUUCACAAGGGUGCAGUCUGCUUUGGAGAAGGCAGAAGUGUAGUGCAAUGCUUCCAAGUGGUACAGCAAAGACUCUAACAACCUUUUCUAUGUUUGCAACAGUUCUGCUGUUGAAGCCUGCUAAAAUAAACCUAAUUCCUAUAUAAAGAAGCAAUAAUUUGGAGGAGAGAGUGUUGCCUGGAACUAAGUGAACUGUUAUUUUCACUGCAAACUCCAAAUCCACUCUUAAGUAUCUGCCUGGUGUUUCUGUAGUAAAUCUUCAUUCUGAGGACAGAGCUUUCACUUUGGGCAUCACUUACUCUUCUUUUCACCAUUUUCAGAAGAAGAUGGAAAUCUUCCUAUAGCAACCUCUUAGAAAAGUCAGAAACAAGUGGCUCAUUCUCGGCAGUAUCACCCAUCAAUUCUCAGAGGCAGGCUUACUAAGGAAGGGACUGCAACACUUUCUCUGCCAAAGUUCUGCAGUUUGUCUCAUAGAAGAUACAGAGGGAUGGCGAAAGCAGAGAGCUGUCCUUCAAGUGCCCUUGCCUAGACAAAAUGAACAGCUUGAGUUCCUAUCAUUAGCAGGCAGAACACCUCAGCAGGAGGCACGCCGCUUGAAACCUAGAGAAUUCUGCAUGAUUACGGCUAAGCAACUCCUCAAAAAUCAAGCUGGAAGUUGUCCUGAGGGAAUUUUUCUAUGAAAAACUGUUUACACUAAGGUUAGCAUGCAUUGACAGAGCCCGAGUAGGAAAAAAAAUGUUAUUUGGAGAUCAACAGGGAGUUUCAGCUCUCAGAGAGAGAAAGGGUUGAUGGCACAUAUCCUCACCGCAAGGAUGAAGUUGUGUUCUUCACCUCCGGGUGCAGUGAGCAGCACCUCCAGCUCCAAGGUGAGGGUGAGCACACUCUCACAGCAUCGCAUAAAUACACAAUUACACGCAGCACACUUCUCCCAGGCUGGGAAAGGCUAUGUGCCACACAGCGCCCGCCUACUUGAAAGCCAUUUCUUUGAAACAGGAAUUGGAACUGCAGACCACAACUAUGCAACAUUAAGGCUGUCCAGGUUUUAGAAUCGUAGAAAAAAAGCUAGAAUAAACCU